AGUCUGCGUUUAAAACACCAUUAGUAUAAGCGCCAAUAGUCUUCCACUUUAGGCGAGGCAGCAGCACAGAUAUUUUCUAUCCAAGACAAGAUAGACAGUAAAACUCACACCUAGGUGAGCUCAAUUAUUUAUUCGCUUUUUGAAUCUACGUGGACGCCUUUCUGUGAGCUCCGCAGCCGCUUGACACUGUUUUUAUUGGCAGAUUAACAGUCAUUUUUGUUAACGAGCGCCAUUAAAUCGGGCCCUGCGUGGUUUUGCCCCUUGUCUUUACAGCACAAACUACUUCAAACUACUUUUUGGGGUCCGUUUAAUACCAUAAUAAAAACCAACACGAGGGCGGCUGCUUCGGUUUUAUAGUGCUGAUAUACGGCCUGAAGUGGUGCGGACCGUAAACGCAGCUGAGGUUGUUGCAGCCUUCACUCCCGGUCGGGUAAAGGGCGCUUGUUACUCAGCCAUCAGGCUACCAUGAGUGAACACAGCUCGGACCAGAGCUCGGUGGAGGUACCGAGGACUGUAUCAGCUUUGUGCAGUGGCGGGAUAGGAGCGUGCCCGAACCUGUGUUCAGUCAGCAGCGACUCAGUGAUCAAAUGAGGGGAGGGAAAAGACCGGACUGACUGUGAGUCCAGACGUUUGACUUCCUGCUGACCCUUAUCAAAGUCACCGGUAUUGUAAGUGUUUCUAUUUCUUUAUAAUUAUGGCAGACCUGAAGUCUUGGACUCUUUGGUGAAGGCAGGCAGCUAGCCGGGGCUAUAAAUCCGAUCUCUGCGACGCAUACACAGCUAAUACCGUUAUUUACGACGAUUAAAUAUGAACUAUACGCGUUGCUUCUGGGGUCUAAGGCCGUUAUUUACGAGGAUGAAGGCAGGCUAGAGCAGCUUUCUGAUCUGCUGAGGGGACGUGAUGAGUUGGACCGGAGACAGACUGAGCGGCUGGUGGGUUCUCAUUCCAGGAGCAGCAACAGAAACCCAAACCGACUCUGGCGCCCAGGUUUGGCCUAUGAGCUUGAAUUCACCACGUCCCCCUGUCCUUCAGUCUCAAAGGACCUAUUUCCAGCUCUGGACUGCUUCAGUUGGAUAACAGCGAGCCAUGCAAGAGAACAGGAAGUAGAACUCACCAAAAUUCAGAAAAAGACAUUAGAAGGGGCUCUCAGGAAAUGUUACAUCAGCAGAACCUCUAACAUGUUCCCCAAGAACUCCACUGACCUAGAAAACAAGCACAGAAAGCAAAACUACAAAUCAGCGGAGUUCUGAUUUCCAGUGGCAUGAAUAUGAUAUGAAUGAAUGUGGCUACUAUACUGCUGCUGGCACUGUUAAUGUUGCAGGUAAAAUUACUGCUAGUGCUGCUCUAACUAUUACUACCACUAUGUGACUAUUGUGAUCACCACAGCAGCCGUACCAAUGUCACUACUUUAACAAGGCACUUUCUAAUUGUUUUAAUGAACAAAAGCCC
rnacentral:lncRNA from 1 species